AGAUGUGAUCAUACCAACACUAAUGCACCGGAUCUCAUCAGAUCUACGCAGAUAAGCAUGCUUGGGCGAGAGUAGUACUAGGAUGGAUGACCUCCUGGGAAGUCCUAGUGUUGCACCUC
rnacentral:rRNA from 2 species